rnacentral:misc_RNA from 1 species
AAAGUCGUAACAAGGUCUCCGUUGGUGAACCAGCGGAGGGAUCAUUACGAGAAGCCGAAAGGCUGCUUAAAACCAUCGCGAACUCGUCCAGGUUGCUUCGGCGGCGCGGGGCCCUUCCACGGGGCGUCGCUGCCCUGCCUCUCCGGAGUUGCGGGCGCCCGCCGGAGGUACGAAACCCUCAUGUAAUUACAGUGGCAUCUCUGAGUAAAAAGCAAACAAGUUAAAACUUUCAACAACGGAUCUCUUGGCUCUG